UUAUAAAAAUUCUAAUUCGAAAAUUUUUCUUAAAACUUACUUAGCUCAGAAAAGCAAUUUUAUCAUCCAAGGAAUCAAUUAAUAAGGAUGACAAUGAUAGUCUGUACAAAUCGCAAAAAUCAUUAUUUUCCUGUAUUCAUAUUGGAAUGGUAAAAUGUAAUGCAGAUAUUUCAUAAGGUAUGAUCCAGUUGAUGAGUCCAGAGACAUCAAGAUGAAACAGUAGUCAAUUAAACAUUUCAAAAAGCUUGACUUCAAAAUUGGAAAGCUUUCAGGAACAGUUGACCAGUUGAUGACUUUAUGCUGCUGGUUUUAAAGAAAAAAUUUUUAAUAUGCUUUUUCCUGUUACCAGAGCUUUGAAAUGCAUGAAACAAUUGCUAAGCAACCAAACAUUGCUAAUUUUUGAGGUAAAGAUGUCAUCAUGUCAGAUGACUUUAGCUGUUUUUCCCAUUGUGAUUGAACUCAUCAGACAAUUGGAGCAAGAGUUAACAAUAACUAUUGGUGGGCAAACAAUAAAAGAAGUUGGCUAUUUAUUACAAUCUGGUAGAAACAAAUUGGAGGGUUUGUGUCUAUUGGAAAAUCAAGUUUACUGUCUUGGCUAAAACGCUAAAUGCAAAAGUCCAGCUCAUUAAAAAGAUAGAGAGACAAUUUCAAAGUAGCAAGUGAAAAGGAAUGUUAUGAUGGUUCCAGGAUCAAAAGCAUAAGAAAGAUAAAUACAGAUGAAUAAUAAAUGGUAUCUGAGGUGAUAUUGUGUUGAAUAUAGAAAAUUAUAUUUUUGCUGAUAUGUUGGUGUUGAUGGACAAAAGGAAAAUGAAAGUGUUGAAGAUGACUACGUAUGAAGAAUUGAGCAAAAACUUGAGUGGAAUAAAAAUUGGACAAUUGUAUCAAAGAGAUAAAGAAGUGGAUCACCAGAAAGUAUCAGAUUUAGAGAUAAUUUGCUGUGAUAUUUUCAAGAACUGAAAUUUUGAGUUCGACGUGGGAUGUUUGGAGCUGACACUCAAGUUUUUCUUUCAAUUUCCCUUUCAACAUACUGCAAUAUUCUCGUGAACCUACGAAUGUAAUCAUAAAAAUUUCUAACGAGAAAAAUACUUGUAAAAGUCCGUUAAAUCGUAUCACAUACAUAUAACACAAUAAAUAUAAAAAUUUAGUACGUACGUUGGCAGAAUAAACUUUUUUAUUAUUUGUAA